rnacentral:rRNA from 1 species
GAUGAACGCUGGCGGCGUGCCUAAUACAUGCAAGUCGAGCGAACAGACGAGGAGCUUGCUCCUCUGACGUUAGCGGCGGACGGGUGAGUAACACGUGGAUAACCUACCUAUAAGACUGGGAUAACUUCGGGAAACCGGAGCUAAUACCGGAUAAUAUAUUGAACCGCGUGGUUCAAUAGUGAAAGACGGUUUUGCUGUCACUUAUAGAUGGAUCCGCGCCGCAUUAGCUAGUUGGUAAGGUAACGGCUUACCAAGGCAACGAUGCGUAGCCGACCUGAGAGGGUGAUCGGCCACACUGGAACUGAGACACGGUCCAGACUCAUACGGGAGGCAGCAGUAGGGAAUCUUCCGCAAUGGGCGAAAGCCUGACGGAGCAACGCCGCGUGAGUGAUGAAGGUCUUCGGAUCGUAAAACUCUGUUAUUAGGGAAGAACAAAUGUGUAAGUAACUAUGCACGUCUUGACGGUACCUAAUCAGAAAGCCACGGCUAACUACGUG